rnacentral:rRNA from 1 species
GGCGAACGGGUGAGUAAUGCAUCGGAACGUGCCCAUGUCGUGGGGGAUAACGUAGCGAAAGCUACGCUAAUACCGCAUACGCCCUGAGGGGGAAAGCGGGGGAUUCUUCGGAACCUCGCGCGAUUGGAGCGGCCGAUGUCGGAUUAGCUAGUAGGUGAGGUAAAGGCUCACCUAGGCGACGAUCCGUAGCGGGUCUGAGAGGAUGAUCCGCCACACUGGGACUGAGACACGGCCCAGACUCCUACGGGAGGCAGCAGUGGGGAAUUUUGGACAAUGGGGGCAACCCUGAUCCAGCCAUGCCGCGUGAGUGAAGAAGGCCUUCGGGUUGUAAAGCUCUUUCGGCCGGGAAGAAAUCGUGGUCUCUAACAUAGGCCAUGGAUGACGGUACCGGACUAAGAAGCACCGGCUAACUACGUGCCAGCAGCCGCGGUAAUACGUAGGGUGCGAGCGUUAAUCGGAAUUACUGGGCGUAAAGCGUGCGCAGGCGGCUCUAUAAGACAGAUGUGAAA